GAGGACGAGCCACGGUUGGAGAUCACUGGGUUUGUAUUAGAAGGUCAUGCAUAGGGUGGAGUCUCUGACACACUGCCCUGGGUGAUUGAGCCAGACGUGGAAAUCCAAAGCGGAGAUGCUCUCCCUAAUGCCUGACACCUGGUGCAGAUUUGGAGGGGAUUGCACUACAGGCUGGGAUGGAAGAAAACAGCCGGCAAGUGUAAGCACAGCAUCACAGGACAUCAAAACACUGGAUGCAGCACCAGAAACACAAUGUCACCUGACCUGGCAACCCCGGAUAAGACUCUGUGAUGAUUACUCAUUAUGUCCCAGGGGACUUAAAUUAGGAUUUUUUUUUUCAACCUUUUUUCAAUUUUAAUUUUAAUUUUAAUUUUUUUUAUAAUAAAAUCUUAAAGCUUCUACA
rnacentral:lncRNA from 1 species